CACGUAGGGUGCGAGCGUUGUCCGGAAUUAUUGGGCGUAAAGAGCUCGUAGGCGGUGUGUCGCGUCGGCCGUGAAAACCUGCAGCUUAACUGUGGGCUUGUCGGUCGAUACGGGCAUCACUGGAGUUCGGCAGGGGAGACUGGAAUUCCUGGUGUAGCGGUGAAAUGCGCAGAUAUCAGGAGGAACACCGGUGGCGAAGGCGGGUCUCUGGGCCGAUACUGACGC
rnacentral:rRNA from 1 species